AGAUCUCCACCUUGAAUCUCUCUUGUACACACAAGACAAUGUUUGAUACUGAGUUGCCAUCUUCUAUCUGUCAAGGUCUGGACAGAAAACAAAUGUCACUUAGGAUUCUUCAAACAGAAAGAAGCCAAUGAGGGAGACUGAAUCCACAGAGAUGGGGGAGCUAAGAGAGAACACAGAAGCCAGAAAGCACAGACACCUGGGAAAAGUAGAAUCUUGUGAUUUGGAAGAGAACUCAGCGGUAAGAGGGUCCAGAGCAUGUUAAACAGAGGAAGGAGUGGAUCCCACACUUUUGAUCCCAGCACAAGGGAGGCAGAGGCAGGUGGAGCUCUGUGAGUUUGAGGCCAGCCUCAAAGUCUAUUGGAAUAAGUUACAGGGUUUUUGCCCAAUGAAAAUGUGGACUGUGUAAGAUAAGAUGAGACUUCGACUGUCUUGGAGAUAGGAUGUGGUUCAGUUACUGGAGGAGCAAUCCCAGAUAACCAUAGCGUAAGCAGGUACUUCACCACCAAAUGUAUAUUCCAUCAAUAGAAAAAGUAAAACAACAGUGGGAGAGACAAUUCCCUUCAUUCUGAGAAUAUGAACUGGAAGUUACAAAAAAAAAAAAAAUUCUGACUCAUCGGCCAGAAGUUUAUCUCAUAGUCUCACCUAGCUGCAAGAGAGUCUUACAAUGGGCAGCCCAGCUAAAAUGCAAUCAUUCUGUCAAUGAGGAAAAGCAGAUGUUAGAGGAUGUUUUGUGGUUGUACUUGAAGGACAAGAGAGGUGAAGUGAUUUGUUCCAGGUAACCACAAGAGUUGGUUGUAUGGGGUAUGAGGUUGGAUAUUAAUUUAAUAAAUGACCAAUUAAUUAUGAA